AAAGUAUCCAGACACCGUUGAUGAAUUUUUCCCUAUCGGAAAUCCCAAUCAAAGUCAAAGCUGAGAGCAGAAACUUGAAGCGAUGGUUGAAUGUGAAGAUGAUGCUCAGCCGCAGCACAAGAGGUAUGCUUUCUUGUCUUGCUGUUCCCCUCGUCAACUUUGUUUCAUUCGAGACAAACCCAUGUAGAGAGGCUUGUGAGAAAACCACCCUGAAACCCCCAAGUUGAGGCCAUGAAAUGCUUCACUCCCCGUCCUCUGCCUUCUUCUUUUUCUGUUAUCCCUUUGAAUCAAAUCUUGACUCAACUUGUCAAACUCAAACACUAUUCUGCCGUCAUCACUUUGAAUAGACGAAUGCUUCUCUGUGGAGUUGUUCCAAAUCACUAUACUCUGUCUAUUAUCAUCAACUGCUAUUGCCAUUUGAAUCAAAUGGGGUCUUGGCACAAUUCUUCAAAUUGGGUCUUCAACCAGACGUCUUCACCUUCAACACUCUCUCAUCCACGGCUUUGUUCUCCACAAUCAAGUGCCUGAGGCUGCACCAAAAUGCUGCAGGCAGGCGCAGGUCAUUGUAAGCCCGAUGCGCGGUUACUUUCAGCACACUAAUUAAGAAAGAUGGGAAACAACACGGCGGCAAUUCAAGUACUUUACUUGGGAAGAUGGAAGAAAGAGGAUGCGAGCCUAACAACACAGUUUCCUCAGUAUAACACCAUCAUCCAGAGUCUUUGCUAAUUGAUGAAGCAUUCUACCUCUUCUCAGAAAUGAUUACUAGAGGUAUUGCUCCAACCAUUGUUACUUACAACUCUUUGAUUCAUGGAGUUUGCAAUAUAGGCCACUGGAAACAAGCUACAAGGCUGUUGGAUGAAAUGUUGAGUCAAGGUAUCUUUCCAAAUGUCCGCACCUUCAGUGUCUUGGUUGAUACAUUCUGUAAGGAAGGGAUGGUUGUGGAAGCCAAAACUGUGCUUGAGAUAAUGAUUCAAACAGGAAUUGAGCCUCAUAUCAUUACUUACAACUCACUUAUGGACGAGGCCAGACAAGUUUUUGACCUUACGAUUGGCAGGGGCUCCAUGGUUGAUGUUUGGAGUUGUAACAUAUUGAUAAAUGGAUAUUGCAAGGGUAAAAAGAUCGAUCAGGCUUACAAGAUUUUCAACGAAAUGCCUCGUAUGGAACUUGUUCCUGAUACCGUUACUUAUACCACUCUUAUUGAUGGUCUUUGCAUCUGCAAGAGAUGUCUUCUCUAGCUUAUCAACAAAAGGAGUUCAGCCUAAUGUGAGAGCAUACAAUAUAAUGAUUCAUGGACUUUGUCACGAUGGCCUAUUAGUUGAAGCAGAAAAGUUGCUAAGAGAAAUGGGAGGGAAAGGCUGUUCUCCAGAUGGUUGCACCUAUAACACCAUUAUCCGAGGGUUGUUAAAUAUCAAUGAGACAACAUGGGCUAUGAAACUUAUUCAAGAAAUGCUUGAGAGGCGUUUCUCUGCAGACGCAUCAACUAUGGAAUUGAUAAUUGUUUUAUUGUCUAAGGAUAUAGUAGAUCCGGCUUUGUUGAUGCUGUUAAAAGAUUCACGUUAAAGUUGAUUUGAACUCUAUUAAGCUCAGGUAAUAGCAUCAGAAUGGUUGGUUGCAACAACUUUCCUUCUCCCGAUUAGAGCUCCAGUUCCAAGAAACUAGAGUUGGAUUCAUCAGAAGAGUUGUAGCACCCUGCAAUGGUGGUAAGUGCUGAAUUGCUAAAAUCCAUGGUGGCAUAUUGCGGUUGUAACUAUUCAUUGUUUAGACGGCUGUACCAAUUAAUCAAGCUUGAGAAUGGCCUCACUGCAUUGCUAGCACUAUCCUGAGAUUGGAGAUUCCCAACUCUCCGAGGGCUCUGAGGAAGCUGAGGAAGAAGAAGGAAUGGAGGAGGAGGAUGAGGAAGACGAAGAUUGUGAAGGAGAGGAUGAAGAUGAUGAGGGAGAAGAUGAAGAUGAACUGAAGAAGAAAAAGGGAGGGGAUUCUCAGACUAAGAAGAACACAUGCUCUUUAUGGGGAGUACAGAAUUUGCAGAUGAGAAGGAGUAUGACAGUUACUUGUCCAAGCACGGAGGGUGUUUAAAUGCAUACACAGAAGUAGAGCAUACUUGCUACCAUUUUGAAGUGAAACGAGAGUUUCUCAAGGGUGCCUUGACAAGAUUUUCUCAGUUCUUUGUUUCACCCCUUGUAAAAAUUGAAGCCAUGGAGCGGGAGUUACAGGCUGUAGAUUCAGAGUUUAACCAGGUUCUGCAGAACAACUUCAAUGCCAUACAGCCUCACCUGGUCACCCAUUUAAUAGAUUCACAUGGGGUAAAACUUAAAUCUUGGGGUUUUACUUUUAUCUUUUCUUUUCUUUUUGCUCAAAUAAGAUUUUUAUUAUGUAUGCAACAAAUUUUAGUUGUGUAUACAUGAAAGGGAAUAAAAAGAGCUUUAGUGAUGCCGUGGAAAAAGGGAUCAACUUGCAGGAACAAAUAUUGAAAUUGUGCAGAGAUUGUUACCAUGGUGGAUUAAUGUAGCUAGUUGUCAUAGGAAGAGGUGAAAGUUUUCAUCUCUUUGUCUUGUUGUUUUCUUUGUUUUUACCAUUGUCUUUUGAAAGUUGAAUAUGGACAUGGAAUUUCUUAUAACCAAAAUUUGCUCGCAUUUGCUGCAAGGACUGUACGAUGAUUCUUUUGAGAAUUAUAGAGCUGGGCUAAUUGCAAAGCUAUUGGAGAAAGAUCCAUCCCUCCAUUAUGAAACCAAUCGAUUUUGGUUACAGAUUACCGAUAAAAUGCAUAUGUUUGACUAUGCAAAACGGGAAGCAGAACAACUCAGAAGCAUUCAGAAAGAGGAAGUCAUCAACUGGUACAAAACAUAUUUGCAACAAUCAUCUCCCAAGUGUCGGAGACUUGCAAUUUGUGUCUGGGGAUGCAACACAGACUUGAAAGAGGCUGAAGCACGGCCGGAGUCUGUAAAAGUCAUUGAAGACCUUGCAGCCUUUAAGAUGUCAUCUGAGUUCUAUCCUAGCAUUUCUGAAUUUUUGAUGGAAACUGAGCAUUUUGAGGUCUUAUUGUUUGCCAGGUUUUAUUUGCGUUUAUUAUAACCCACCUGGAAGAUGAAGGUUAAUCUCCUUGAUGUGAUAUGGUAGGGUUUGGAUUUGGUGAUUCACAUCAUAAGGUCUGAGUUAUAUUCAUAACCCAAGAUAUAAGAAGGAAAGUCAAGAGUAAUAAGGUCUGAGUCCUCAGAAACAAAGCUGAGAGCAGAAACUGGAAGCAAUUGUUGAAUGUGAAGAUGAUGCUCAGCCGCAGCACAAGAGGUAUGCCUUCUUCUCUUCCUGUUCCCCUCAUCAACAAUUUCAUGGCUUUGUUUCAUUCGAGAGAAACCCAUCUAGGAAAUCGACCCAACAUUAUUGUGAGUAAUGUUGAGGAUGCCUCCAUGUUGUUCCAAGAAAUGCUUCACUCCCGUCCUCUGGCUUCUUCUGUUAUCCCUUUCAGUCAAAUCUUGACUCAACUUUCCAAACUGACACUAUUCAGCAGUCGUCUCUUUGAAUAGUCAAAUGCUUCUCUGUGGAAUUGUUCCUAAUCACUAUACUCUCUCUACUAUUGUCAACUGCUAUUGCCAUUUGAAUCAAAUGGGGUUUGGCCUAUCUGUCUUAGGACAAUUCUUCAAAUUCGGUCUUCAACCGAAUGCUAUUGCCUUCAACACUCUGAUCCACGGCUUUGUUCUCCAUAAUCAAGUGGCUGAGGCUGCACGAAUUUUCACCAAAAUGCUGGAGGCAGGUCAUUGUAACCCCAAUGUGGUUACUUUCAACACUCUAACAAAGGGCUUUUGCAUGAGAGGAAACAACAGUGCGGCCAUGCAAUUACCUAGGAAGAUGGAAGAAAACGGUUGUGAGCCUAACAUAGUUUCCUAUAGCACCAUCAUUAACAGUCUUUGCAAGGAUACACUAGUUGUAGAUGCAAUGAACCUCUUCUCAGAAAUGAUUAGUAGAGGUAUUACUCCAGACGUUGUUACUUACACCUCUUUGAUUCAAGGAGUUUGCAAUAUAGGCCAGUGGAAACGAGCUACAAGGUUGCUUAAUGAAAUGUUUGAGUAAACGUAUCUUUCCAGAUGUCAAUGUCUUGGUUGAUACUUUCUGUAAGGAAAGGAUGGUUGUGGAAGCCAAAAGUGUGAUUGACAUGAUGAUUCAAAGCCUACUGUGGUUACAUACGGUUUGCUUAUGGACGGUUACUGUUUGCGAAGAGAAAUGGAUGAGGCAAGACAAAUUUUUGAUCUUAUGAUUAGCAAGGCCUCCAUGGUUAAUGUUUGGAGUUGUAACAUAUUGAUUAAUGGAUAUUGCAAGGCUAAAAAGAUCGAUCAGGCUUACAAGAUUUUCAAGGAAAUGCACCGUAUGGAACUUGUUCCCAAUACCGUUACUUAUACCACUCUUAUUUAUGGUUUUUGCAAAGCGGGAAGGAUUCAAGAAGCAGAAAAGCUGUUCUCUCAGAUGCAACGUUGUGGCCAACAUCCAAAUGUUCAAACUUAUGCUGUUUUACUUGAUGGCCUGUGUAACAACCAGCCAACUUUCUACGGCAAUAGAAUUGCUUAAAGAAAUGGAAACCAACAAAGUAGAACUUAAUAUUAUAGUUUACACUCUUGUUAUUGAAGGUUUGUGCAAAGCUGGAAAAAUUGAAUCCGCAAGAGAUCUCUUCUGUGGUUUGUCAUCAUUCGUAGUUUCUUUAAGUAUGUAAUGCAGUUUUCUGUUAAUAACUGCUUAUGAUGGUUAACUCCCAAUUAUAAUUACCAUUAGCAGUCACCACUCAGUUCUCUCAACCCAUGUUUUUGCAAACUAGAGAGCGAACAGGGAUAGAUGUGGUUGAAAUGCAGAACUUGGGUAAAGUACAGAGAAGCUUUAGCGAUGUACUAUUUCUGGAAAGUGUUUCCUGUGUACUUUUAGGUGAAAUUGUCCAAAAUAAUGGACAAUAUGCAUUCUACUUUACUCAGUUUUAUAGGUAAUAGCAUCAGAAUGGUUGGUUGUAACAACUUGUCUUCUCCCGAUUAGAGCUCCAGUAAUGUCAACAUCAUUUGCUGUUCACUUGAAAUACUUGGUUCCUUGUUAUGAUCUUUUCCUUGGACUUGAAAUUUGAUGUAAUUGAACCAUUGUGCACAUCACUUGCAGAGUUGGACUUCAUGGGAAGACUUGUAGCACCCUGCAACGGUGGUAAGUACUGAAUUGCUGAUAUCCAUGGUGGCAUUUUGCGGUUGUGACUAUUCAUUGUUUAAGAUAGGCUGCCAACCAAAAGUAUAAUUGCUGUACUACUCAAUAGAUUGUAAUUGAGCUCUUUUUGUUGCUUCUUAUAAACUUGGGGCUGAUGUCUAGUUGAUAAAUAGACACUGACCAAACUUGGGUCAUGUGAUUGGAUUGGUUUCUGUAAUCCAGCUUUGUUCCUAUUGUGAAAAGACUCAUAAUAAAGCUGAUUUGAACAUUUGAAACAGAUCACUUUCUCAGUA